GAGACCAGUCUGAGCUCCACAGCAAGACCUUCCCACAAAAACAAAGCAAUCCUGUGUAGUGCCAAAGAUACACACGAGUAUAAACAGUCAUAGGAUAUACCAGAGCCUGGAAAAAUC
rnacentral:lncRNA from 1 species